rnacentral:rRNA from 1 species
UUGCCAGCCCGCUCAGAAACUCAAAUGAAUUGACGGGGGCCCGCACAAGCGGUGGAGUAUGUGGUUUAAUUCGAUGCAACGCGAAGAACCUUACCUGGUCUUGACAUCCCGGAGACCCUUAGGAAACUAGGGGGUGCUUCCAUCUGGAAGAAUCUGGAGACAGGUGCUGCAUGGCUGUCGUCAGCUCGUGUCGUGAGAUGUUGGGUUAAGUCCCGCAACGAGCGCAACCCUUGCCUUUAGUUGCCAGCAGUUCGGCUGGGCACUCUAAAGGGACUGCCGGUGUUAAACCGGAGGAAGGUGGGGAUGACGUCAAGUCCUCAUGGCCUUUAUGACCAGGGCUACACACGUACUACAAUGGCCGAUACAAAGGGCAGCGACACUGCGAGGUGAAGCCAAUCCCGUAAAAUCGGUCUCAGUCCGGAUUGGAGUCUGCAACUCGACUCCAUGAAGUUGGAAUCGCUAGUAAUCGUGGAUCAGCAUGCCACGGUGAAUACGUUCCCGGGCCUU